GUUUAUGUUCGCCGUCCGCAACGAACCGUUCGGGAGAUCACUAGUUAAGAAAUAUCCCACCCCCCCCUUUACCCAGUCUUAAUAAACUUAUCCCCUUCCCUGCCUGCAAUGAUCAAAAUAGAAAUCACAGUAUUAUACUGUGAUCAACCUUUUUUUUUUUUUUUAAAUCCCUCAGGGGUUGAAUCUAUUUAAUUUAAAAUUAUAGAUUUAUCUAGCUGUGGUGGGUGGGGAAAUAGAGGAAUUGUUAGGGGUUAAUGGUAAAAAAGUUUAUAAUUUUAAAAGUGUAAAAAAAGUUUAAAUAAAGAAUAAAAAGUUUAAAAAAAUGUAAUAAGAAAAAAAGUUUAAAGAUUUAACAAAAUCCAUAAAAAAAAAAAAAUGCUCAUUAGCACUACACCUGGAACAAACUAGUGAAAAAAUUAUUCCACACUAAGGUUCAAAAUAUGCCUGUUGAAAUACCCCAUGGUGUAUUAUUUAAAAAAAAAAAAAUGGUAUGCGUUUGUGGGGCAGUUUAAAUAACCAAUCAGCUAAGCUACUCCAAAAUAGAACAUGGACACAGCUUAAAAAUUAAAAGUUUGAAAAAACUGAAUUGCUGUGUCUCAAAUGUUCCCCUUCAACAUCCACAUCUACCUACCAAAGGUACAUACGGGGUUAUUCCUGUACUCAAAUGACAUAGCUGAGCAACUUAUAAAGUGUUAUACUGACAUAGCACAUAUAGGGUUUGCGAAAUAUACAGUAAAAGCUCACUGUGUGGGUCAAAAAGGCAGAAAAAAAUGCUUAUUGCCUCUACACUUGGUACAAAAUAGCAAAAAACUAUCCCACGAUACUGUUCAAAAUAUGCCUUUUAAAUUACCCCGGGAUGUAUUCUUUAAGAAAUGGUAUGCCUUUAUGGUGUAGUUGGAAUGAGACAGGGACACAGCAGAAAAAUUCAAAGUUUAACCCUUUAAGGACACAUGACUGAAAUAUUCCGUCAUGAUUCCCCUUUAUUUCUUAAGCUGUGUCCUUAAGGGGUUAAAAAAAAAAAAAAAAAAACUAGAAAGGAUGUGCCCCUUCAGUGCUCACAUCUACCUGGCAAAGGUACAUAUAGGGGUAUUCCUGUACUCAGACGACAUGGCUAAGCAACAUAUGAAGUAGUAUACAGUCGUAGCACGCAUAAGGUUUCCAUAAUAUACUGUGAAAACUCACUUUGUGUGUCAAAAAUGCAGAAAAAACAUUUAUUACCACUACACUUGGUACAAGCUAGCGGAAAAAUGAUCCCACGCCAAGGUUCAAAAUAUGCAUUUUGAAAUACUCUGGGAUGUCUUCUUUAAGAAAUGGUAUGGCUUUAUGGGGUAUUUGGAAUAUGUUGCCUACUAAAGUGCUCCAAAAUGGAACACAGACCCAUCAACACCAUCAAUGAAAAUUCACAUUUAAAACCUAAACUUGUCAUGUCUCUUUUACAGCAGUGUAACUUCACAAAACAGUGUCUAGGUCAUACAUUGGGCAUAUUGUUUUACUCAGAAGAUGUAUCGGAGCAUAAUUUGGGGGAUUUUAUGACAGUGGUACAUAUCAAGUGUAAGAAAUACUCUGCAAAACUGCAACAUGUAUGUAAAAAGUUUCAUUUUUUUUUUCUCACCACAAACAUUGACAUACAUUGGUGAAAAAAUAGUGACAGAUUAAGGCACAAUAUACGCCAUAUAAGAUAUUCUGGGGUGUCUACUUUCUCAAAUGGAAGCCCUCUGUGGUGUUAUUUAAAUAGUCAACUAUAAUACCCCAAAAUGAGACACAUGCCCAUCAUAUCUAUCUAUGAAAAUUCUAACUAUAGAUACUGAAAUAGUUUUGUCUCUUAUAUGACAUUGCAGCUUCACAGCAUAGUACCAAAGGCAUAAAAUGGGGGUAUCGUUAUACUCAGCAGAUGUAGCUGAACACUAUGGGGUUCUGUAUAUGAAUAGCACACACCAGUUUUACGAAAUACAAAUUACAAAAACCUUGUUAUAUGUGUAUGUACCAAAAUAGAGAAAAAACACAAUAUUACUCCAAUAUUUAGCAGAGAUUGGCGAUGAAAUGGCUACGUAAAAAAUGUCAAAAUAACCUUAGGUAAAUAGCCCGUGAUGUCUACUUCUAUAUAUACACGUUUGUGUGGCAAUUUUGUUUUGUGUGAUGGCUACUAAACUUACAAGACAAACAUACCAACUUCUAACAUUGUUUGACAUUGAAAUGUUAUUUUAGUCCUUGUAUUUUGUGACCUGUAGCUUUCAAAAUAAGUUCAAAUCCUACACAUAUUAUUUACUCUAUAAAUCAAGACACAUAAAUGAAUUUAUUUUUAAUUACUUUCCCUGAACUGGACACAUUAUGCACACGUUAUUAUUGCCAAAGAUGUGAAAAAUAAAUUUGGGGUUUUUGUUUCCUAUUCUUUUAAAAUAAUUAAUGAGAAUUUAUAUAUGUAUAUGUGACAUCAAAUUAAAG
rnacentral:lncRNA from 1 species